rnacentral:rRNA from 1 species
GAUGAACGCUAGCGGCAGGCUUAAUACAUGCAAGUCGUGGGGCAGCAGGACGGUAACAAUACCGUUGCUGGCGACCGGCAAACGGGUGCGGAACACGUACACAACCUUCCUUUAAGUGGGGAAUAGCCCGGGGAAACCCGGAUUAAUACCUCGUAACAUAAUGAAGUGGCAUCACUUUAUUAUUAUAGCAGCAAUGCGCUUGAUGAUGGGUGUGCGCCUGAUUAGGUAGUUGGCGGGGUAACGGCCCACCAAGCCUUCGAUCAGUAACUGGUGUGAGAGCACGACCAGUCACACGGGCACUGAGACACGGGCCCGACUCCUACGGGAGGCAGCAGUAAGGAAUAUUGGUCAAUGGACGCAAGUCUGAACCAGCCAUGCCGCGUGGAGGAUGAAGGUCCUCUGGAUUGUAAACUUCUUUUAUCUGGGAAGAAAUCCAUAUUUUCUAAUGUGGUUGACGGUACCAGACGAAUAAGCACCGGCUAACUCCGUGCCAGCAGCCGAC